ensembl:snoRNA
CCAUGUGCGGCUGAUGACAACACAGCUGCUGAGACUCUGUGAUUGCUCAAUCUCAAAGUAAACGCACUGACGCACUGUGG